rnacentral:misc_RNA from 1 species
GUUUCAGGACGCAUAUACCCUGGGCUCACACCAGAUGGACCAAUGGAUGUCUGAAACAUUAAAUUGAAUGGAUAAGGAUCAGAAAGUGGAUUCUUCGUAUCAGGUGCAGUUAUACCAUAUUCCUUUAUCUUGGCACCAAGCUGCUCAGCAGAGAGAUCAUCCAAGACAGCAAGAAUGUGCUUCAAUUCUGCGGCCUUUUCCGCAGACAGGCUGAAGUCCUUCUCAAGUUUUUCUUUACAAAAAUCCUUGAGCAAAUGAUCAGCACGGUAACAUGUUCCAGUCUUCUCGUCCUUGACCAUAAGAUCAGUGAACUUCUCAACGUGACCUGAUGCCUUUAGGACAACCUCAGGGGUCACACAUGGACAGUCAACUUCCAACAUGUUCUCCUCCAAAACAAAAUGCUGACGCCAGAAAGAGAGUACAUUUGACUUCACAGAACAGCCAGGGGGACCGUAAUCAUAGAGGCCAGCAACACCUCGAUAUAUUUUGAAAGACGGAAUAUAAAACAACCGUCGUUCGAGAGUAUUAACAACAGCCUGACGAAACGCAUCUCUGCUUGCAGACGACGAACCGCCAUCGGCAGCACCAGCAAGAGCAACUUGAAGCUGGCUCUCUAUUGAUGCUUUCUCAAGCUUCAAAGCAUUCAAAGCUUGAACGGCAGCUUCGAUAUCCAGCUUGGCAGCACCUGACGACUUCAAUUGGCGAACAGUCCCUCCCUGGACGUCGAUACUCGAUUGUUUCUGGGCAAGUGCUCUGCGAAGUGAGUCUUCGUCGGCGACGGCGGCCAUUGUACCGUAAACGGAAAAUUGAUGAGCUCCAAUGUAGGGUUUAAGGAGUGAACAGUGGAGGAAAUGCUUGGAGAUUACGCGGCGGUGAAGGGAAAAUGCG